rnacentral:tRNA from 12 species
GCCCGUGUAAUCCAACGGCAGAGAUAAGCGACUUAAAAUCGCUCCAGUGCGGGUUCGAAUCCCGCCACGGGCACCA